AGGGAUUGAACUUCAAGCAGAGGCUCUGGGCUGGACUAGUGCACCCUUUCAAGUAACUGCUCCCGAAGACGAUCUGUGGUUUCUGUCUCGUGGGAGGACCUUCGUGGUACCAAGCACCACACAUGACUUAAUGAAUAAGGCUUCCAAAUGACAAAGAAUCUAUCCCAAACUAUCAUCACAUCCUUUCUGCUAAGCCAGAGGCAGGCAGGUGAUGCCAUUGAAGCUGACAGAGUCAAGGCCUGUCUGUGUUGUUGACAGGAGCCCUCUUCAUGACAGUCUGGGAUUCCUCCUACCCAUAGUACAUGACACUCCCUGCAUUGGCUGACUGUUGGAACAGAGACAAGUGCCUCAAGACAUCCGACAGGCUUUUCCCUUGCCUCUUAAAAGUUUGAUCCAGUUAUAUCCUGUCAUUAAGGCUGACCUGAGUGCAUCACUUAACUUUAUCAUUUGCUGUUUUCCUGCUCUGUGACAAAACAUCAUGACUAAAGCAACUUAUGGAAGAAAGAAUAUCUUGGCUUUCGGGUCCAG
rnacentral:lncRNA from 1 species